CCUACGGGAGGCAGCAGUGGGGAAUAUUGGACAAUGGGCGAAAGCCUGAUCCAGCAAUUCCGCGUGUGUGAAGAAGGCCUUCGGGUUGUAAAGCACUUUAGUGGGGGAAGAAACAGCUUGGCCACACCAAGCCUUGACGGUACCCCAAGAAUAAGCACCGGCUAACUCUGUGCCAGCAGCCGCGGUAAUACAGAGGGUGCAAGCGUUAAUCGGAUUUACUGGGCGUAAAGGGUGCGUAGGUGGCUAUUUAAGUCGGAUGUGAAAGCCCGGGGCUCAACCUCGGAAUUGCAUUCGAUACUGAGUGGCUAGAGUUCGGUAGAGGGCGGCGGAAUUUCCGGUGUAGCGGUGAAAUGCGUAGAUAUCGGAAGGAACAUCAAUGGCGAAGGCAGCCGCCUGGGCCUGGACUGACACUGAGGCACGAAAGCGUGGGUAGCAAACAGGAUUAGAUACCCUGGUAGUCCACGCCGUAAACGAUGAGAACUUGACGUUGGUUCGUUUUACGAAUCGGUGUCGCAGCUAACGCGAUAAGUUCUCCGCCUGGGGAUACGGCCGCAAGGUUGAAACUUAGAAGUAGUGCGUGNGAGAGCGACGACGACGACGACGGAGGAGGAG
rnacentral:rRNA from 1 species